UACGUAGGUGACCAGCGUUGUCCGGAUUUACUGGGCGUAAAGAGCGCGCAGGCGGUCGUUCAAGUCGAGUGUGAAAGCCCCCGGCUCAACUGGGGAGGGUCAUUCGAUACUGAUCGACUCGAAGGCAGGAGAGGGAAGCGGAAUUCCCGGUGUAGUGGUGAAAUGCGUAGAUAUCGGGAGGAACACCUGUGGCGAAAGCGGCUCACUGGACAGUAACUGACGCUGAUGCGCGAAAGCUAGGGGAGCAAACAGG
rnacentral:rRNA from 1 species